GAAUCCAAGGACAAGUCGUGGAAGCGCAAAACGGCGAGUAUUCGCCAUAAACGCGACGAAUCCCGUCGAACUAACGCGAAGUUGCAAAGCUCGUGAACAAAAGAAGAGAGAGGAGCGUACAGGCGAAUGGAAAUGGCGAAUCCGUACGCAAAAGGAUCCUACAGAAGUUAUGAUGGAUACGCGUCUAUAUCAAACUAUCAGCGGCGUCUUAGCGGAGGGUGCUGGCAUCGUUAUGGGCACGACGUUGACGGACGGCUCUCUUACGCUCGGUUGACGGGAAACACAAAUUGUGGGCGCAGCUGCGCCGAUAGUAAUCAAGAAACACGCUAUUCGGGUUAUCUUCGCGUAGACGCGAGUGGAAUGAUCGAAGAGGAAGCGAUAAACAUCGACAAAGUUCAACUUGGAUGGAUUAAAUUUAAAAGUUCAAUCACUUUUUUCCGUUAGUUGAUCCACGCAAUUGUCGGCUAACGCGCGUUUGUUUGUUUGAGCAUUCUUUCGGGCGAAUGAAUUAACGAUUGUAAGCGACGCUUUAAAUGUUCUUAAUAAAAAAGAUAUACACACCA